UUUUCUGACAUAUAAUCAUACAUCGGCGCAUAAAAGAGAACAUCAAGAGGAUCGUGGAUGGCGAAAUAGCCGGCAGAAACCAGCCCGCUGGCCCUUGAGAAGUCUGUGUGGAAGAAAUCCCUACGCCACCGCUAAGCGCGGAUUUGGGAAGCUCCCCGGGAGAAGGUCCCCCGAGAACAUCCCUUUGAGGCAUCUCUAACCUCAGAGACACAGAAUCCCAAAGUGAAUGGAGACGCAAGGGAUUUCCCUGUCUUAAGAUCAGUUCUACAAGCCUUGACCACCCAUCGGGCCGGGGGAAGUGUGGACAAUGGCUGAGUAAAGAAGAGGAGAAAGAUAAACCCGUUCCGUUUACCCGCGGGUCUGAGAGCCAUCAUCACCCUUCCUCUCACGUAGACGCGCGGAAACACUACUACCGAGUUGAAAGCCCCUUUCGCCCCCUUCCUAGAGCGGCCGCGGAAGUGCGCCCCACGCGGGUUGGUUCUCAGCCCUCCUGUGGCCGCUUCCGGACUUUGUGGGUCACUUUUGAUGGGUUCCGGGUCCCAAAAGGGUUCGAGGCCUUUAGGGGGGAGUUCUCUUCUGGCCCGGGGGGCCGCAGGACUGUCCAGGAAUAAAUUUUCCAGGGGAGAUCUUACUUGAAACACCGGUAGUUCUGGCACAGCUAAAAUGGCAUCUACUUGGGCUAUCCAGGCCCACAUGGACCAGGAUGAACGUUUGGAAGUAAAGAUAGAGGAGAAGAAGUAUACCACCAGACAGGAUUGGGACCUGCAUAAAAACAACACCCAUAGCAGAGAGGUCUUCCGUCAGUACUUCAGACAGUUCUGCUACCAGGAGACGUCUGGUCCCCGUGAAGCUUUGAGCCGACUCCGAGAACUUUGCCAUCAGUGGCUGAGGCCAGAGACCCACACCAAAGAACAGAUUCUGGAGCUGCUGGUGCUGGAGCAGUUCCUGACCAUCCUACCUGAGGAGCUCCAGGCCUGGGUGCAGGAGCAGCAUCCAGAGAGUGGCGAGGAGGUGGUGACUGUGCUGGAGGAUUUAGAGAGAGAAUUGGAUGAGCCAGGAGAGCAGGUCUCAGUCCACACUGGGGAACAUGAAAUGUUCUUGCAGAAGAUGGUACCUCUAGGAAAAGAAGGAGAACCCAGUAUGCCCCUCCAGUCCAUGAAAGCCCAGCUAAAGUAUGAAUCUCCAGAACUUGAAUCCCAACAGGAGCAAGUUUUAGAUGUUGAGACUGGAAAUGAGUAUGGAAAUUUAAAGCAAGAAGUUUCUGAAGAAAUGAAACCACAUGGGAAUACAUCCAGUAAAUUUGAAAAUGAUAUGUCCCAGUCUGCUAGGUGUGGAGAAACUCAUGAACCUGAAGAAAUAACAGAAGAGCCCUCUGCAUGCUCCAGAGAAGAUAAACAACCUACCUGUGAUGAAAAUGGAGUAAGCCUGACUGAGAACUCUGACCAUACUGAGCAUCAGAGAAUCUGUCCAGGAGAAAAAUCUUAUGGAUGUGAUGACUGUGGAAAAGCUUUUAGUCAGCACUCACACCUCACAGAACAUCAGAGGAUCCAUACUGGAGACAGACCCUACAAAUGCGAAGAAUGUGGAAAAGCUUUCCGUGGGAGAACUGUGCUUAUUCGACACAAAAUAAUACACACUGGAGAGAAACCAUAUAAGUGUAAUGAGUGUGGCAAAGCCUUUGGCCGGUGGUCAGCUCUUAACCAACAUCAGAGACUUCACACAGGAGAAAAACACUAUCACUGUAAUGACUGUGGCAAAGCCUUUAGUCAGAAAGCAGGCCUCUUUCACCACAUCAAGAUCCACACAAGAGACAAACCUUAUCAGUGUACUCAGUGUAAUAAAAGUUUUAGUCGGCGUUCCAUACUUACUCAGCAUCAAGGAGUUCAUACCGGCGCGAAGCCCUAUGAGUGCAAUGAGUGUGGAAAAGCCUUUGUUUAUAACUCAUCCCUUGUUUCCCAUCAGGAAAUCCACCACAAAGAAAAAUGCUAUCAGUGUAAGGAAUGUGGGAAAUCCUUCAGUCAGAGUGGCCUUAUUCAGCAUCAGAGAAUUCACACUGGGGAAAAACCCUACAAAUGUGAGGUAUGUGAAAAAGCCUUUAUUCAAAGGACAAGUCUUACAGAACAUCAGCGAAUUCACACUGGAGAAAGACCCUAUAAAUGUGAUAAGUGUGGGAAGGCAUUUACUCAAAGAUCGGUCCUCACGGAACAUCAGAGAAUUCACACUGGAGAAAGGCCCUACAAGUGUGAUGAGUGUGGGAAUGCCUUCCGAGGAAUCACCAGCCUCAUUCAGCAUCAGAGAAUCCACACUGGGGAGAAGCCCUACCAAUGUGAUGAGUGUGGAAAAGCCUUCAGACAGAGGUCAGAUCUUAGUAAACACCAGAGCAUCCAUAAUAGAGGUGGUCCCUAUGUAUGUAAAGAGUGUGGGAAAUCAUUCAGGCAGAACUCAGCUCUUACUCAACAUCAGACUAUCCACAAAGGAGAAAAAUCUGUUUCUGUGUGAUGACUACAGGGAAGUUAUCUCACAGAGUUCAGGCCGGUGAGAAAUACUAUUUAGCUUUAAAAUUAUUGGGGUAAAACUUCAGUCACCAUUGUUACAGGGAAACCUCAGAUAUUUAAUAAGAAUUCAGUACGUGCUGCCCAUUGUAUUAGGUGCUGUGGAGAACAAGAAGAUAACUCCAAACUCUUUUCUCAGAGAGUUUAUAGCCUAGUUUGGGAUAGAUAAGAUCCACAUAUUUAGUUAAAUAAGACUACAGGAGAGUAGAAUAGAUGCACAAGUCGGUGUUGAAUAAAAGUGGUACUUUGUAGCCUGUAAGUGCUGUAAAUUCUAAAGGACAGGUUACUUUUGCCUGGAGUGGUGAACAAAGAUUUUAUUUAAAAUAAGGAUUUGAUGGACAGACUUAGCAGUCACAAGGGAGAAAAUGGGUAAAACAAAUGUAAGCCAACUUAAGAGUGCAUGUGGUUUGGAAGCAUCAGGGAAAAAACUAGCCAACCUGCAGUAAAAGGUUCAUGCAAAUUGGGCAAUCAAUAGCAUUAAGUUGGAAACAGCUUGGGGACAGACUAUAAGAAGGCCAGAAUGUGAAUAAUUUCAUCUCAUACUUUAUAGCACUUUGACAUUUACAGAGCACUUUUCUUAUUCCUCAAAUACCUUGGUAAAAGCAGUCUCCAUUUUAAAAAUGAGAAUACUCUUGCCUAUGAAGAUGGCGACACAGCUAUAAUCCCACACAAAGAAAAAGACCAGUAACCUAAGUGCAGGUCUCUUGACUUCUAGUCCUGGCCAUUACACUAGUGAUCUUCCAACAUUGAUGAACAUCAAAAUCACGUUUGGGGCUUGUUUAACAUCCCUGAAUCCCACUCACAUUCUGCUUCAUUAGGCCUAGGAUGCAAGUUAAGAAUCUUCAUUUUUAUAGCUUCACAGCUACUUAAUAUACUUUAAAAUUUGAGAAAUGUUGAGUUGAAUGACAGCUGACUUCAUGGCUGUCUGCAAAGUGGGGAAGCCUGAACACAGUCCUGUAAACUAAAGGCCACUGCAGACUUUUAGCACAAGGAGAUCCUUACAGGGAACAUGUGCCACCAGCUCUUUGGAGUAAACCGGGAAUUAGACCCCCAUCAUGCCAAAAACUAGGGUUUUAAGGUGGUCUUUCCAUCCCUUCAGAUUUAAGUAUUUAAAGAAAAAGAGACAGACCUACAUUCCAAGGGUCUUCUGAGUGCAAGGCCUUGUGUUGUUUAUUUAUUUAGGGGAGGGCUUGGUGCUCUUCUCUGCUUUACGCUUUACCUUCUUUUGUUUCCCAGAUCUCUUGUUACCACUAUGUUCUGAAUUCCCUAAUAAUUGCUCUUGAGAACUGAUUUACAUUUUGUUGGUUUGUAUACUUCUUGAGCACAUAAAAGGACCCCAAAUUAGAGAUACUACCCCUCGGGCUUCUGAAAAAUGAACCAAAAACUGGUUGACUCUAACCUUGUCUUGCUGAGUAAAAAUUCUGCUUUGGAUGAGAACCUGUCUUGAUUGUUUUAGUGGACAACAGGCAAGCCACAUAGAAGUACACAUGGCUCCUGAUCUGUCUUUUUAUUUACAGAAAUCAUUCUUAAUCUCUACUGAGAUGGCCUGUUAGUUCCUUCCUUUUCUACCCUGCCACAGCAAACUCCACAAUUUCUGGGACUAACUUCCUACUGCACCCCAACACAACUCCAAUCCUCUCUUCUCUUCAUACUUCUAGCUGGUCAAUGGGUUUGAAGUGGUGAGACAGUGAUAAAAGGGGAAGGGGAAAAAUAAAAGAAGGGUAAUCUGCAUUCUUCCUUAGUAAGUCCCACUCCUAAUUACCUAAUUACACAGUCCUGUGUCUUUGUCCCAUCUUCACUCCUGUAAUACAUUCCCCACCCCCAUUUUCUUAGUGCCACUGUCUCUUGCCUCUCUAGCCAUAAACCCUGUACAGAAUUUCAUCCCUGGGUUGGAACUAGAAGCACCCGUUGGUCCUAUAGCAAUAUUAUAUUUCUAGCUAAGUUGUAAAUAUGAACACAUAUUCCCAUAGAAGUCAUAAUGGUCUAAGUAUUAUAAUUCAGGUAUAUUGGGUGUCAGAUUGGCUUCUGGGAUUGGAACUUACAUGACUUUCUGUGUGGAAAAAACUUCUUGAGUUCAUGAGAGAGAAAGGCAAAUGAACAGUUGAAAAACAACUUACUCAUAAGUUGAGGACUGCUUAGUUAGGUUUUUUUCAUAACCCCAGCAUAGGAGUUGCACACAUAAGGCACUGAGGCAACUGGGAUUGGAAACCUAGUUUUCUUCCUCCAGGAAACAAGGAACCCAGAGUGAGCCUGGGAGCUCUGUAGCUAUAAGUAUGUGAGGCCUAUGCUCUACCUAAGUUUACCCUGCCUCCCAUUUCUCACAUAAUGAGAAUGCAAACUUGUAACCAAACCAAGGUUCAGCUGCUUGCGGCUCCAAAGCCAAAACUCGGGAGAGAAGAGAGUUGGUGGGAGGAAAAGCAGGUUUAUUUGGAGAGCCAGCAAACUGAGACGAUGGUAGGCUAGUGUCCUAAAGUACCAUCUUAAAUCAGUACAAAUUUUAGGCUCUUUUUAUGUUAAGGGCAAAGGGAAGAGGAUAGAGUUGGGAUGAAGAGGUAACCUAUGACCACAGACAUCUGGGUGCCAGCAAGAGUCCAAGGAAGUUGGGAACUUCUUUGUCAUUGGUUGGGUCACAAUGCUCCUGUAAAUCUUUAACAAAACAUAGUUAUACAUACUUCUUUAAUACCAGAGUUUGUUUUUAAAACUACAUGAUUGCUGUUUUGCAUAUUAUCUCUGCUCUAAAAUUAGCCUACAUGGAGGAAUGGGUAAAGGCUCCUUAAACAAAAAUGGAGUUACUUAUGUUAGUUCUUGUGCUGUUUCACUGUUAGAAACUCCUCUCAGUGGAGGGGACUUUACUUAAUGAUGAGAACCUGUGUGAGAAUGUUCUCCUUACCAAAUAUGCUAUGCAUACUCCUUAUCUAAUCUGAUUUUAUAGACUUGUUAUCCAAACUGAAAUUACUGUUCAUAGUAACUUCAGAGCCUCUCUUUUAAUCUGACUGCUCACUGGAAUGCAAUCCUUGUUUUAAACUUGCCUUCUGUUCCUCUCAGUGCCUUUACUUGGGGAUCUUUCCAGCUCAUUUUCUGCUUAAUAUGGUCUGUCAUUGCGCACAUUCCUCCAUUUGCCUUUCUGCACGCGACUUAAUAUUUCUUAUAUACCUAAUAUUAUAAAGGGGCCAUAAACAAAGACUCAGAACAAUGGAAUAUGCCGAUUACAGGAGGGUACAGUUCAUACUUGUUUAAAAAUAAAUGUGGAGGCUGGGCGUGGUGGCUCAUGCUUCCCACCUUUGGGAGGCCGAGGUGGGCGGAUCACGAGGUCAAGAGAUCGAGACCAUCCUGACCAAUGUGGUGAAACCCCAUCGCCACUAAAAAUACAAAAAUUAACUGGGUGUGGUGGCAUGUGCCUGUAAUCCCAGCUACUCGGGAGGCUGAAGCAGGAGAAUCGCUUGAACCCAGGAGGCAGAGGUUGCAGUGAGCCGAGAUCGCGCCACUGCUCUCCUGCCUGGCGACAGAGUGAGACUCCGUCUCAAAAUAAAAUAAAAUAAAAAUAUAAAUAUAUGUUGGGGUUUUGUUCUGGUUAUUUCUCAUGCUUAAAUACAGUUGUAGUACCAAAAAAUGGUGGAGUGACAUGGAAUUUCCAGGUAGGCAUCAAAGGGGAUUAAACUAGCUCUCCAGGAUAAAGAGGAAAUAUAGUAGAAUAAGGCUACUAAUUGGAGCUAAAUUGGCAAUAUAGGGAAAUUUAAGGCCCUGAGGGGCAAAUGGAGGAUGUGACAUGUUAGAUAUGGAAUAGGAGUACUACACUGGGGAGUGCAGUGAACAGAGAAUGCUUUGUGAUGAAGUCAAGAGUACAUUUUAUGGAUAAAAUACAGAUGUGGUGUGACAGUGACAAGAUCCUAGGAAACCUGAAACCUCUGAAGCAUUUGAUGUAUGUGGAUUUUGAAAUAACAAUAACAGGGGGUGGGAUGGAAAGGAAGAAUAUGAAAGUGAAGCAGGUCCAAGGUAGAAAUAAUGGUCAUCAAUUGUAACAACAGCCAGAUAGAAGUAUCUGGUGUAAAACUCAAAUGAAUCAUAAAGUUUGCAAAUAAUAUUAAGGACAAGAAUAAGAUUGACUGGCUUGUCUUUUCUAAUUGGUUCAAGGUAAACAUGACAUUAAGUGUUCAAGGCAAAAAGCAUGGAGAGGUUGGGGAAGAGCCAAGUUUCUAAAGUAAUGAAAAGUGAAGUGAGUUUCAACUCAGGCUGUGAAUGAAAACAUAACCUGACAAACUGAUUCCAGAGAGUGCAGUGGGAAGGGACUGCAGAGGAAAACAGAACGGGGCCCUCCUUCCAACAAUACAUUGUAUUAAGAGGUUACCAGAGUUUGAGGUAUGAGAUGAAGCUAAUGAGGAAGGACAGUGGGAUUCAUGAGGGCUCCAAAUUGAGACAUCUCAACUGUAUAAUGACAUUGGUUGUAGAGAGCACUAAGAUACAAGAACUUAGACAAGUCUGCACUCCUGUACUCAGUACAGAAGUAGUCUUUUUUGUUAAUAUACAGAUUAUUUGUCGAGCUGCUAUAGUCAAAACAAAGCUGUUCUUAUUGACCAUCUUUUGGAAUUGAGAAAAGGGUUUAUUAAUGACAAUACUCCACACUUAUUAACUGCUAAGGGCCAGACAUUACUAAAUGCUUUACUUACAACAUCUCACUUUCAGCUGGGGAAACUGAAAUAGAUAAGCUAAAGCUGCUCAAGAUCCCAGAGUUAGUAUGUGGUAAGGCCAAGAUUUGAACCCAGGCAGCCCACUUCAAGAGUCCACACUUUUAACUUCUGUGAUACACUUCCUCAGUUUAUUUCAGUUGAACAAACCAUGUGUUGCAGUGGUAAUUCAGUGUCUUGAGUAAUUAUCUGUAAAAACUUUUUAUCUCUAGUCGGUAUUCUGAAAAAUGAUUCAGAAAGUCCUAGAGUCCAAACACCUCAGGUAAUAGUAUUAUGACCCCCUCUGCAUACCAAAUCUUGGAUGAGGUUUGGCCAGCAUAAACAGCUCUACUUGUUGCCUGCACAGAGAGGGUGUCACAGGAGACAUUCCACUUUAAAAAUGGGCUCUUUAUAUGAAAAGAUCAUCCUUCUUAGCUUAGAAUCAUAAAUCACUCUGCAUUAUUCUCACAGAAUAAGGAAUAUUUGGCUGUGUAAUUUAAUACAGAAAGAUUUAAAGAUUUGUCCCCAAGUGUUGAUAACCCAUGAUGGAUGUAUCUUUAAUGUGAGUUUUUAAAAGUGAUUUUAUAUUAGAAGAUACUUCUUGGAUUUCAAAAUGCACACACACAUAUAUAUGUGAUAUAUGAUAUUUUUCUUUGCUUAAGACUCACCAGUUUUACAGUUCAAAUGAUGUCCCUCCUAACUCCACAAGGCCAGAAUUUGAGCAAAUGCUUGUUCAACCUAGACAUAAUCAUUCGAUAGCCUUUAAUUGAAUCUCUUCCUAACUUUUAUCCUUUAAACCGAAAAGUUAUACCACAGUCACUACAGCAGCUCAUUUUAUUGGAAUUUCUUUGGAUCCUCUCCCUCUCAAACAUUCUGCGUGUAUUUGGUAAGGAGUCCUCACACAUUAUUUUUUACUUGUAUAGUAUUUCUACAUAUAUAUAUUAAUGUGUACAAAGUAUGUAUGAAUAUUUUUAUGUGUUGUAAUUUGUAUUUUAUAUAUAUGGCCUCAUGUAUAUAAUUUGAUGUUGACAGAGCCAACUAUGAUAAGUGUUUUAAGCUUUUCAGUUGAUUAGCCCCCUAGCUUACAUUGUAAGACCAUCAUUUAGAGCCAGCAGUUUUCCCUUGAUUUCAUGGACAGUUGAUUCUCUUCAUACACUUUAAAAACACCAUUUAGGUGUCUGAAACCCAUCAGUCAAGGCUCCCAGAGCUUUCACCUAUCAUAGUUCAAGUUGAUCUCUAGGGUAUAUGUCUGCUUGUUCCUGCCAGUCAUUUUCCUAAGCCCGGUGGCCUGCUUCUGGAAGUCCCAAGAAGGGCUCCAUAGUGGAAGCCAUUUGUUAGUUCUGAUUUAUGAUUAGAUCAUCAUUACUCCUCUUCAAGCUUGGUGGGCAUAUCUUAGUGUUUUGAUUUAGUGCCUUAGUUCUGCCUACUUCAGUAAUGAAUUUAGGAGUAGAUGUCUCCGCAUUUCAUCCCUGAUAAAGAUUGAGGCAGUUUAGGGACUCUGCAGCUUCCUGUGGCCAAAUUCUCUACUUAUUCCUGAGAUAGGGUUUAAGAACCUGGAUUCUAGAGACAGAUUGCCAUGGUUCGAAUCUCAGCUUACUAGCUAAGUGACUUUGGGCAAGCGAUUUAACCUCUCUUGUCCCUCAGUUUCCUCCUAUGUAAAAUGACAAAGAUAAUAAUACCAACCCAAUGUAGAUUAAAUUAGUUUACAAAGUGCUUAGAAUAGUGCUUGGCACAUUAGUGCUUUACAACUGCUAUUUUGAUUGUUGCUGUGGGCUCUCUCAAAUGCAUUGUCUCUAGAUGCCAGUGCCCCAGGUCAAAAUUUACCUUUAACCAUGCUGCAGGUUUCCCAGACUGCUGCAGUCCUCCUAGCCCUGGGAUAAAAGCUCCCACGCAGGUAUACUUUUACUUUCCUGCCUGGAGAACUGAUGAGCAGUGGCCAGCAGGGGACACUUACCGCCCAAGCUGGGAAGAGAGAUUUCUUCCCUUUUGUCUCCGCCCCUGUUAGUUAUCAGAGGUACCUAGCAGCCCGUGCUAUAUCCUCCGUUUGCCUUCGAAACUACUCUUCCUACGUUCUGCAGCUGGAAGGCCGGCCUCGCGCGGGUCAGACGCGCCCCGGCCUGGGAGCAUGGGCCCCCGGGCUUACCUGACUGCUCAGCUGGAACUCGCGCUCCUGAGCUGGCGCGGGGUUCGGCCGGGCAACCACAGAGAGGAGAAAGCCUCCAGAAUCCUAGAGAAGCUGAAUGCUGAGACAGCCGUUGACGGCGGCGGGACACGAAAGUACCGACCUUUCUGACCUUUGUGACGGACCUUUAGGAGUGGGGUGGUCCCAGGAGGAAGACCAGCUACAAGGAAAUACUUCUGAAAAAUCAUUCUGAACCCCAAGCUGGAGUGAAUCUUCUCCUGAGCUCUCUCAUUCCAGAAUGGCAAUCUUGUUGCAGGAAAGAUCUCUAAUAGUGACUGAUGGUAAAGGAAGAAGGCUGUGCCUAGAAUAAAGAAUCAGGCUGGCAAAGAAAUCACAGGUCUUUCCUCAAACUUCAAAUUGUUACUAUCUGGAGAUAGCUACCUGGACUUUACAGAGCUGUCAGAGGACUUGGGAAGGUUUGCCAGCGUUGGAAAAAGCCACUUGGACUUCACAGAGCUGUCAGAAGACUUAGGAAGCUUUGCCAGUAGUUCCUGAGACCAGAAAUACAUAUUAUGAAACAGGUGCUGGAACAGGUCCUAACUCCUACUUGUGAAGCUGCAGAUAUAGGUAGGAUUAUGUCAUCCAGAAUGUGGAGAGGAGGCAAUCGAUGAUGCUGGAAAAGUUGAAGAGACAGCUUGAAUGAAGGACAAACCACAGGUGGGAAAGGUUGGAAGGAUCACUUAUAGCUGGACUAGCAAAAGGCUUUGGGAAUAGGAUAGAAAGCAGCAAACCUGAACUUUAAGAUCCACCGGAUGUCUCUGGAACCAUAACCCAGCAUUUCCCGUAAAUAGCAGGCUUUAAUUCUCCUGCUGUUUAGGUGCAUCUCUGGGACCUUCUCUUUCUAUAUUGGGUUUUUUGUUUGUUGGGUGUUUUAAGUUAGGGGUUAGCUUCAAAUUCCAUUUCCCAAGACCAAUUUUAUCACAUUGCCUUUGGGUCUUAGGCUAAAAGAUAGAACAAGGUAUGCUUUUGGUCAAGAUAGUACCUUGGAAUCAAAGGUUUCAGAUCAAACCUAAGAUCCUAUCUUAGUUUACCUCUCAGUGUUAUUGCCUUUUGAUAUGGAAAGUUGAUGAGAGAGCAUCUCUGGAGAGAAAGAAGAAGAGAGCCUCACAGGGGAAGCUUUUAGAACUUUUAGUAGCAUCCUCUCCCCGGAAACCUUGUCUCUACUCAUCUCCUUCUCAUUGUCUACCUGAUUCUUUAAGUAGAAAAUCUCAACCAUAUUUGUAGGGGCUUGGGGUUUUGUUUUUUGACUCACUUAACUCCUUUAACUUCAAAAUGUUGCUUUCUUACAUUUUAGACAUGAAUAUUACCUAGAAAAGCUAUUACCCCACUGUAAAUUUUCCAGUUUAUUGAUUUCCCCACAUCAGAUUAGUAUGUAUUUUGAAACUGGUUUAGCUAUUGUUUCAAGUUAACUUUGAUCAUAUCCCAUUGUUUACUGAUCCACUCAACAAAUAUUUAUUGAACAUUUUGUAGGUCUGUAGUAGUAGCCAAGAUACUUAUCAGUGAGUAGAAAUAGUCCUUUUAACUGUCCUUAACAAAUUAAACUUUCUCUUGGUUUCAUGAUAUUCCUUGUUUCUCAGCUUUGGAUUCAAACUGAUCUUCUCUUAACUUUUUUGAUUACGCUUUCCUGAUUUCUUUUAUUGUCACAUUUUGUGAAAAGUCUUCCAUGCAUUUCCAGUUUCUUCCUGCCUAGCUGUCUCUUCUCACCCAAAUUGGACCCCUCUACUCCUACCCUGCCACGUGCCUUCACAAAAAUGAGAUGCUUGUUUAGAGACUUAGAAAAGGCAUGCACUUUAGAUGGUGUUACUGAGAAGGAAACUAAGGACUUGGCUCCAAAACAAAAAAAAAAUCUGGAUAUGCUGAAUUUUAUUAGGGGGAAUGUUUGUAGAACUGCAACAUCAAUGCAAUAAGUGUAGUAAAAGCUUUAGUUUCUGGUGCAUCAUUAGUCAGCAUCAUGUAGUCCACGAUGAAGAGAAUAUCUUUGCAAUCUCUGCAAUCAACAAGUUUUGAAAGGCUUUUGCUUGUAGUGGAACCCUCUUUUCCCGCAGAAGAACCACCACAGGAAAAAUGCUGUGAGCAUAAGAAAUGUGGGAAAGUUUUCAGCCACAUGGCCUUAUUUGACAUCAAAGAAUCCACAUGAGAGAGAGACUGCAUAAAUAUGAUAACUGAGGAGGCCUUUGUUCAGCAAGGAAACCUUAUACAAACUUGUGUGAAGAAUGUAGGAAGACCUUCGCCCAGAAGCCAGAACUGACUGUGCACCAAAGAAUCCGCACCAUAAACGUGAUGAAUGUAGAGAUGCUUUCUUCAGCAUUGGACAAUUCACACUAAAGGGAAACCCUGCCAGUGUGAUGAGUGUGGAAAAGGCUUGGAAAAAUCAGUGAGUGAAUUCAUAUUAGAGGCUCUUAUAAAUGAGAGGAUUGUGGGAACUUGUAUAGACAGAGAUCAGACCUCAACAAGGGAGUCUCCACAGUAUUGAAAAGUUAAUAUAAUUAAUGUAAGUGGGCAAGUUGUAUGGAGAAUGGGUAGUCUAAAUUGCUCUUUUAGCCAGUAAAAACAUUAAAUGAGUUUCUUAGAUCAAGAAAAGGAAAUGUUACAAGUUAGUUUUCCCUUCCAGAGAGAUCUAUAUGUGUAAGCAACCAGGACUUUUGAAAUAAGUUGCAUCUUUGGAUUUGUGAUCUGUCUCCUGGAUGAUUAUCUCUGUUUUGGGGGACAGGUAUUUUUUCUUCAUGCCUGCUCUAGUCUCAUCUCAUAUCUUUAAUUCAUUCAGCAAGUAUACACAGUAGUAUUAUCGUCUACUGUUUGUUGUAAAUAUAUAUAUAUAUAUUAUUUUCUUUAUGGGCUGAGUAGGCUUGUAUAGGUACCCUAGUACACAAAAAUCACAUAUAUCGUGUUUCAGUAAAUGUAGUGAAAGGAACUAUAUUAUGAAAUUGCUGGGCAUUUCUAUAAAUUUGGGACUACCUUUUUAUUCUCCAACACAAGACCAUGUAGGUGUCCCUUCAGACAGUAUAUUUUUCCAGCUUUGGCUUCUUUAUUUUCUUUCUUUCUUUAUUUUUUUGAGGCGGAGUCUUGCUCUUGUCGCCCAGGCUGGAGUGCAGCAGCAUGAUCUCAGCUCGCUGCAACCUCCGCCUCCCUGGUUCCAGAAAUUCUCCUGCCUCCGUCUCCCGAGUAGCUGGGUUUACAAGUGCUUGCCACCACGCCCAGCUAAUUUUUGUGUUUUUAGUAGAGACGGGGUUUUGCCAUGUUGGCCAGGCUGGUCUCGAACUCCUGACCUUGUGAUCUGCCCACCUUGGCCUCCCAAAGUGCUGGGAUUACAGGCAUGAGCCACCGUGCCUGGCUGUUUUUUUAAGAUAGAAAAAUAUACUUCAUGUAUAGCCUAUUGACAGAUAAUGACUGAUAUUUUUUCUUAUAGAUAACACAUAAUAAACAUUGUGAAGACUAAUAUGUUAAGUAACUUGCUUAUUCUUUUCAGUUCUAAAACCUAUAGGAAAGAAUCUUUAGAAGCUGUCAACAAGUUGGUAAUGUAGCCCAAACUCUACCCAUAAUAGGAGAGUGAGGCUUAUGUAUUUUAUAGUAGGACACUAAAUAUAGGAACCAUGUAUUUAAAAACUUUAUUUAGUGAUUAUCUCAGAAUGCUAGGUUUCUCUCUGGUGUACAUCCCUAAAUUUUUUGCAUAGGUAUUAUUAAUACAUUCAUUAUUUUUAAAGAGGGACUGCAUUCUGUAAAAGGCUUUUCCAGUAUCUGCAAGUCAUACAGUUGUUUUAAACUCUAUUACUAUUAUAUAAAAUGAUUUCUUUAUAUUGAACCAACCUUGUAUUCCUAGAAUAAACCUCACUUAGCCAUGA